CUUCAUUAAAAUAAUACUAUACAUAAAUCACAAAACUUUUCUUUUAUUUUAACCACACAUUUGAACAUCAAUCACUAUUUUAUAAUACAUUUUUUGAAAUUAAGAAGGUACAAACAAGCCCUAAGGUAAUAAACACUGGUGGAAAUAGGACUGUGCUGGGAUUACAGGCUCCGCAUUAAUAGGGCAUCCUAUAGAUAUCUCACAAUGGGUGGAAUCAGUAUUUUUUUUUUUUUUUGCCAUUUUUUAUUACAAUGAGGUACCGCGUGGACCCGACCCCCAUGGGAGUGCCAUGUAGGAGACCUGUAAGUUGCUGCCUAGCCUGCCCCUGUACACCUAGUUUGAUUGGUGCUCAUAUUUCAAUAAACAAGAAUGGUAAACCAAUAUUCACACAAAGGAGUGCUAGCAAUUCCAAUAUCUUGCCAUGACUUUAGUGCAGUCCAGAAGAAUAUAGGCAAAUCUGCAUAUUUAUUUUCAUCCAAGCAAAACAUCAGAAGUAAAGAGAGUCACGGUCGAUUAAGUGCCCCAAAGGAAUGAUCACUCAAUUUUUCAUGACCAUGGCUAGCAUCUCUAUAUAGAUGACAUUGUGAAAUUUCUAGGCAUCUCAGGUUCUAUUCACGACGUCUUCUAGUGUCGCAAUAAGCCGAAAUUCAAACUUGAAGACACUUGAAGCCAACCGAUAGACCUUUUUAUGAAGGCAAAGUAUAUCCACCGUAUUGUUUGGAAGCUAGAAAUGCAAGUCAAAUAAAAUAACCCACUCAAUCACAAUCAAGACUAAGAAUCUAACAUGCAACCAAGAAUCAUUCCAUUGAAGUUCCGAACAUAGAAUCUAGUACAUCGAUAGCAUAUGCUAUGUAUACAAGUUCACAGGUAACAAAAUCAAAAUUUCUCGUGCAAAAACAAUCUUCUGAUAUGCUUUAGAGAUCUAAAGAAACAUGAUUCAACCAAAAACUAAACAAGAUUACAGAAAUCAGGACACAGUUCAAUCCACAAAAGAAUCCUUAACUUUCAAUCCAACCAAGAAAGUUUCCUCAUACUUAACUUUCAGUCCAAUCAUUAGUUACAUUACCAUCGUCCUAAGGCCUUGACAUUGUACACCAUUAUCCAAUCAUAACACGAGAAAAUCCUGUUUGUAAAUAAGGUGAGUCACGUGCAUAUGAGAUGAAAUUUUCGAAAUAUCAAUAAAAGCUAAAGAAUCUUGAAUUUGGAGUAUGUUUGGCCAGCAGGAAAUUGAACCCAUCCAAUAACAAUUAAAUACAAAAAGAAAUAUAGAUCCUGAAUUUCUACAUCUUCAGUAGAGCCUCAGGCCUUACACGAAGACCUCAAUAAUUUCGAUGAAACUGCAAAUCAAAACAAUAAUUCGCGACAGUAACCUUAAUAAUAAAAGGAAACUUCAAUUUUGUUUGCUUGAAUUUCUCCAUCCAGAAGGUACAUUAAGAAUCACCCAACAAAACAACCUCAAGCAUUCGAUUAAACUUCUACAAUUUAGAUGAAAAUGCAAAUAAAAUAAUAAUAAUAAAAGGGGAUCAUCCUUCAAAGCAAACCCUAACAAUUUUGAAGAAUUGUUCACGAAAAACCUUAUCAAAUUGGACAACCCAGAAGAUCCAUAAGAGACGCUUGCCUAAAAUAUCCUCAGUGAUUUAGAUAAAACUGCAAAUUAACCAGGAAAAAAGAAAAAGGAUAAUUUCUCCACAAAAACCUCACUGAAAAUGCAAAUAAAAUAAUAAUAAUAAAAGGGGAUCAUCCUUCAAAGCAAACCCUAACAAUUUUGAAGAAUUGUUCACGAAAAACCUUAUCAAAUUGGACAACCCAGAAAAUCCAUAAGAGACGCUUGCCUAAAAUAUCCUCAAUGAUUUAGAUAAAACUGCAAAUUAACCAGAGAAAAAAAAAAAAAAAAGGUAUAAUUCUCCACAAAAACCUCACUCAAGGAUCAAAGUCCCAAAACAAUUUGGACCAUUUCUCGAUUUGUGCGUGUCAUCCUUGCGCAGGGGCCAUGCUAAUCUUCUCUGUAUCGUUCCAAUUUUAUCGGAUGUCCCCGAAGGGACGAGUGCCUGCGUACGACUUCUAGUAUAUAAAAUGAUAAAGAAUUCUGUCUUUGGUCGAUGUGGGACUAAAUAGUUAAGAUUUAGUUCGAAUGCGACUGGAAAGGCUGUGGGCUCGGGUUCUUAUUCAGGCGCCCCUCCAAUAGGGGGGCGCCACACGGGCCUAUCACCAUAAUUCUGGCCAACUUAGUUUUAUUGUAGUUCCAAUUCUGGUCUGAGCCCUGUUGAUGGGCUUGUGAAGUAUAUAUAUAUAUAUAUAUAUAUAUAUAUAUAUAUAUAUAUAUAUAUAUUAUUCUUUGGACGAUUUUAAAUCUAUUACAAUUUAAUUAUUUCAAUAAUACUAUAUUUUUUAUUUUUUUAAUAUGUAAUAAAAUUGCCGUAUAAGAAUUUCGUGUUAUUAAUUCUAAAUUAAUUGACAUUUAUAUUAAUCUAAACUCAAAGAAUCUUGACUUGAUGAAUUUUGAUCUACAUAAAUUUAGAAUUAUUAUAAAUAAAUUUAUUUCUAUUCACAUAUCUGAAAAUUUUAAUGGGAGUUUAAAUUCAUAUAUUAACAAUUAAUUUUUAUAUAUCAAAUGUAGUAUAAAAGUUUUUCAUUUGUAAUAUUUUUAUCAUCAAAAAAGUUGAAUCAUAGAAGUUGAGUUUUGAGUAUACAAUUUUCUUAUCUUAAAUUUUUAUUCAAAUUUUAAUUUCUAUAAUUUGUUUGAAACUCAUCAAAUCUUCUAAACAAAUUGAUAUAAAGUAUUACUUAUACAACAUUUAUAAAAUAUUUUAGAAUAAUGUGUAAUACAUGUUUAACUUUGACUAUAUAUAUAUAUAUAUAUAUAUAUAUAUAUUAAGAUUGGGAUGACAUUAAUUUCAAUUAUGAUGGCAUACGAGAAAAUUUUGUAGCGAUGGUUAUUGUCAAUGCAAACUAUUUAGUCAUUGUUUCAUGAUCAUUCUUUUGAAAAAUAUGAGAUUAAAAAAUAGGAAAAAAUGAAUUUAUGUGUAAAAUAUUUUAUUGUGUGAAUAUGUGUUAAAAAUCAGUAUGAAAACAAAAGAGUUUUAUUUUAAAUGAAAACAAAAUGAUCACACGUUUUAGUCAUACACAAUUUUCAUCAACUUUUAAUCAUACAUUUCAUAUGAUCCACUAACUUUUAUUAACGUUAUUUGCUAAAAUUUUACAUCAAACAAGCACAAGUAAUUUAAAACUAAACGUUAAGUGAUUUGACAAUUUUUUUUCAUUAAAUUUUAUAUAGUGUUAAAUUCUCAUGAAAUUUGAACCUCUAUAUUCACAGUCUUAAUUACGAAAGGACCUAGAUUCACUCAUUUAAAUAGCUUAAGAACCGACCUAUAAAUUUCCUAACAUAUUAAUUAAUACAGAAAAUAAUAAGAUAAAAAGGUGAUUAUUUUUGGUGGAAAACUUGGUUAUUGCAAACGUAAGUUGAUGGCGAUCUUUAACAGAUUUUUCGUUAAAAGAUUGUUCAAAUUUAACGUAGUAGCUCACCAUUUGGUUUCUGCAGCUGUUUCUGCGUUGCCAUUGAAUUUGCAGGGUAUGGAAUGGAAAUUGGAGGGAGAUAAUUGAAUACAAAGACUCAGUCUACUGUCCCAUUCAUUUCUUUUUAGGGCCCCUAAUUUUGACCCCUAAAAUCAUUUUUUAUCGUUCUAGAUUCUGAGGCGACCCUCUUCUUUCGCUGAUCCUGAUAUAUCUCCUCUAUCCAUCUCCUACCUUAUAUGAUAUUGAUACUCUCUGUUUUUAAGCGCUCCAUUUUCUUGUGUGUUUUCAGUUAAAAGAUUUGGUUUAUUGUCUUCCAAGAUGGCCUGAUUUUCGUUGAAGUGGGAUUUUUUGGGGUCUGCCUUCUGAGUUUCUGCUUGAAAUGUUGGAUUUCUUGGAAUAAUGCACCUUGAAUGGGUUGCUUAUGAAUUUCCUGUGUAGUUCUAAGUUCUACUGUUCUCUGGUUUUCCAUUCUCAAUUUGAAAAUUUGAUCUCUAUACAUUCUUAAUGUUGGGUGCUUGGAAAUUGUUUUUUCGAACUGAAAUAAUUGUUCCUUUGUGGUGGAUUAAUUAUAACAUCCCCAUACUUUCUGUUGCAAUUUUCAACUGUUCCAAUUGACCUGUAAGUUGCUACCCUAUACACCCAAUUUCAUUGGUGCACAUAUUUCAAUAAACAAGAAUGGUAAACCAAUAUUCACACAAACGAGUGCUAGCAAUUCCAAUAUCUUGCAUGACUUUUAAGUGCAGUCCAGAAGAAUAUAGGCAAAUCUGCAUAUUUAUUUUCAUCUAAGCAAAAACAUCAGAAGUAAAGAGAGUCACAGUCGAUUAACUGCCCCAAAGGAAUGAUCACUCAAUUUUUCAUGACCAUGGCUAGCAUCUAUAGAUGACAUUGUGAAAUUUCUAGGCAUCUCAGGUUCUAUUCACGACGUCUUCUAGUGUCACAAUAAGUCGAAAUUCAAACUCGAAGACACUUGAAGCCAACCGAUAGACCUUUUUAUGAAGGUAAAGUAAAUCCCCCAUAUUGUUUGGAAGCUAGAUAUGCAAGUCAAAUAAAAUAACCCACUCAAUCACAAUCAAGACUAAGAAUCUAACAUGCAACCAAGAAUCAUUCCAUUGAAGUUCCGAACAUAGAAUCUAGUACAUCGAUAGCAAAUGCUACGUAUACAAGUUCACAGGUAACAAAAUCAAAAUUUCUCGUGCAAAAACAAUCUUCUGAUAUGCUUUAGAGAUCUGAAGAAACAUGAUUCAACCAAAAACUAAACAAGACUACAGAAAUCAGGACACAGUUCAAUCCACAAAAGAAUCCUUAACUUUCAAUCCAACCAAGAAAGUUUCCUCAUCCUUAACUUUCAGUCCAAGCAUCAGUUACAUUACCAUCAUACUAAGGCCUUAACAUUGUACACCAUUAUCCAAUCUUAACACGAGAAAAUCUUGUUUAUACAUACGGUGAGUCGUGUGCAUAUGAGAGGAAUAUUUCGAAAUAUAAAUAAAAGCCAAAGAAUCUUGAAUUUGGAGUAUGUUUGGCCAGCAGGAAAUCGAACCCAUCCAAUAACAAUUAAAUACAAAGAAAUAUAGAUCCUGAAUUUCUACAUCUUCAGUAAAGCCUCAGGCCUUACACGAAGACCUCAAUAAUUUCGAUGAAACUGCAAAUCAAAACAAUAAUUCGCGACAGUAGCCUUAAUAAUAAAAGGAAGCUUCAAUUUUGUUUGCUUGAAUUUCUCCAUCCGGAAGGUACAUUAAGAAUCACCCAACAAAACAACCUCAACCAUUCGAUUA
rnacentral:lncRNA from 1 species